UUGAUCAAAGGUCAACAAUAACUAUACAAAUUAAUUAAUAUUUUAAAGGCAGGCACAGGAAUUCGGCACAAGAAAUUAUUAUUAUAUAUUUUAUGGACAUAGCGAGGGGCCAUGUCAAAGGGUCAGAUCUCCACUUUUCAAAUGAUAUGACACUACGAAAAAGAAAUAGAAAUCCUGUCAUGGAAUUGGUCCGAAGAAAUUCCUAUAUUUUGGAAAUGAAACCCCUACAAUUCACAGGAAUAAAAUAAAAAUGUAAUGGAAACAAAACGAAAACAAAAUCAUAACAGGGAUUAUUUGGUAAUGUUUUUUUUUUUUCUUUAUUUUUCUUCCACUUUAUUGAUUUGUAUGUUUUUCCUUUAAAUUAAUUUUAAUUUUGUUGUUGUUUCUGUUGAAUGUGCGCAUAUAAAUUAUUAAUAUUAAAUAUUUGUUUUUGUUUGUUGUUGUUGGUUGGGGGUUUCUUGUUUUUUUUUUUUUUUUUUUUGAUUUUCGUAAUUUUAAUAAAAA